ensembl:processed_transcript
UUCAGGAACUGAAACAGGAAGUUGGGGUCUCCAUGAGUUUGAAGAGGUACCAUAACACAUUCCCUACAGUAAUUAGGGCUUCCCUUAACAAAGCCAAGGCUGGCACCUGGGUAGAUGUUCUUUGUUGAUUACCAAGUCUUAAUGUGGACUAGCUUCAGAAGCUUCUCAGAGCCAAACCGUCAUCUCUUUGCCUUUCUGCUACGAAGACCACACUCCCAUCCAGGCCACCCACCAGGUUCCAUUUGGUGGAACCCCCACCAAGGACACCUUUAGCUGUUGAUUGCUUUAUAGAAUAACUGGGCUGGAUGACAGCCCUGAGCAGUUUGCCAGUGUGGUCUAGUUUUCUAGGUUUCCCUGGUGAGUCAACAGGAAUGUAUCUACUUGUCUCUGGGAAUUGCAGUUCUACAUCAUCACCUAAAGUCUUCCAGAUUUUCCUGAAGAGAGGCAAAUGUGUAAAACACAACUGAAAGCUGACUGUUGAAUUAAAAUCGUGGUGAACAAGAUCUUGGAUGUGAGUCAUGGAAAUGAACCUGAACUGAGAGUCGCUUUCCAAAGACUAUCUCAUCACUGGGAUUCAGGCUGAACAAAGGAGUUAGAUUCAGUGAGUUC